rnacentral:rRNA from 1 species
GACGAACGCUGGCGGCGUGCUUAACACAUGCAAGUCGAACGCUGAAGCUCAGCUUUUGUUGGGUGGAUGAGUGGCGAACGGGUGAGUAACACGUGAGUAACCUGCCCCCUUCUUUGGGAUAACGCCCGGAAACGGGUGCUAAUACUGGAUAUUCACUGGUCUUCGCAUGGGGGUUGGUGGAAAGGGUUUUUCUGGUGGGGGAUGGGCUCGCGGCCUAUCAGCUUGUUGGUGGGGUGAUGGCCUACCAAGGCUUUGACGGGUAGCCGGCCUGAGAGGGUGACCGGUCACAUUGGGACUGAGAUACGGCCCAGACUCCUACGGGAGGCAGCAGUGGGGAAUAUUGCACAAUGGGCGCAAGCCUGAUGCAGCGACGCCGCGUGAGGGAUGGAGGCCUUCGGGUUGUGAACCUCUUUCGCUCAUGGUCAAGCCGCAACAAUGGUUGUGGUGAGGGUAGUGGAUAAAGAAGCGCCGGCUAACUACGUG